rnacentral:rRNA from 1 species
GAUGAACGCUGGCGGCGUGCCUAAUACAUGCAAGUCGAGCGAAGCGGGGACGGGGGAGUAACAAGUGGAUAACAUCCUAUAAGACUGGGAUAAAUUAGGGAAACCGGAGCUAAACCGGAUACUUAUAACUGGACCCGCGAUGCAUUAGGUAGUUGGUAAGGUAACGGCUUACCAAGGCAACGAUGCAUAGCCGACCUGAUAGGGUGAUCGGCCACACUGGAACUGAGACACGGUCCAGACUCCUACGGGAGGCAGCAGUAGGUAAUCUUCCGCAAUGGGCGAAAGCCUGACGGAGCAACGCCGCGUGAGUGAUGAAGGUCUUCGGAUCGUAAAACUCUGUUAUUAGGGAAGCGGUACCUACUCAGAAAGCCACGGCUAACUACGUGCCAGCAGCCGCGGUAAUUC